CUCCAACAGGAUAGACAGGCCUAGUCGUGGCUAGAGUUAGAACCCCACUUUCACUGAACUUCUUACAGUUGGAAACUGGUGUCACCCAGCUGUAUCCUGAAUUCAUUUUGUGGAGCACAUCCCCAUGCCCAGCAAGAGACGACCCCAC
rnacentral:lncRNA from 1 species